rnacentral:snRNA from 1 species
AUCGCUUCUCGGCCUUUUGGCUAAGAUCAAGUGUAGUAUCUGUUCUUAUCAGUUUAAAGUUGAGGAAUUCUCUCUUGUAAAAGCUCCCUCCCCACAUUCCUC